UGCAGUAGAACGCUGAAGAGAGGAGCUUGCUCUUCUUGGAUGAGUUGCGAACGGGUGAGUAACGCGUAGGUAACCUGCCUUGUAGCGGGGGAUAACUAUUGGAAACGAUAGCUAAUACCGCAUAACAAUGGAUGACACAUGUCAUUUAUUUGAAAGGGGCAAUUGCUCCACUACAAGAUGGACCUGCGUUGUAUUAGCUAGUAGGUGAGGUAACGGCUCACCUAGGCGACGAUACAUAGCCGACCUGAGAGGGUGAUCGGCCACACUGGGACUGAGACACGGCCCAGACUCCUACGGGAGGCAGCAGUAGGGAAUCUUCGGCAAUGGGGGCAACCCUGACCGAGCAACGCCGCGUGAGUGAAGAAGGUUUUCGGAUCGUAAAGCUCUGUUGUAAGUCAAGAACGAGUGUGAGAGUGGAAAGUUCACACUGUGACGGUAGCUUACCAGAAAGGGACGGCUAACUACGUGCCAGCAGCCGCGGUAAUACGUAGGUCCCGAGCGUUGUCCGGAUUUAUUGGGCGUAAAGCGAGCGCAGGCGGUUUGAUAAGUCUGAAGUUAAAGGCUGUGGCUCAACCAUAGUUCGCUUUGGAAACUGUCAAACUUGAGUGCAGAAGGGGAGAGUGGAAUUCCAUGUGUAGCGGUGAAAUGCGUAGAUAUAUGGAGGAACACCGGUGGCGAAAGCGGCUCUCUGGUCUGUAACUGACGCUGAGGCUCGAAAGCGUGGGGAGCGAACAGGAUUAGAUACCCUGGUAGUCCACGCCGUAAACGAUGAGUGCUAGGUGUUGGAUCCUUUCCGGGAUUCAGUGCCGCAGCUAACGCAUUAAGCACUCCGCCUGGGGAGUACGACCGCAAGGUUGAAACUCAAAGGAAUUGACGGGGGCCCGCACAAGCGGUGGAGCAUGUGGUUUAAUUCGAAGCAACGCGAAGAACCUUACCAGGUCUUGACAUCCCGAUGCUAUUUCUAGAGAUAGAAAGUUACUUCGGUACAUCGGUGACAGGUGGUGCAUGGUUGUCGUCAGCUCGUGUCGUGAGAUGUUGGGUUAAGUCCCGCAACGAGCGCAACCCCUAUUGUUAGUUGCCAUCAUUCAGUUGGGCACUCUAGCGAGACUGCCGGUAAUAAACCGGAGGAAGGUGGGGAUGACGUCAAAUCAUCAUGCCCCUUAUGACCUGGGCUACACACGUGCUACAAUGGUUGGUACAACGAGUUGCGAGUCGGUGACGGCAAGCUAAUCUCUUAAAGCCAAUCUCAGUUCGGAUUGUAGGCUGCAACUCGCCUACAUGAAGUCGGAAUCGCUAGUAAUCGCGGAUCAGCACGCCGCGGUGAAUACGUUCCCGGGCCUUGUACACACCGCCCGUCACACCACGAGAGUUUGUAACACCCGAAGUCGGUGAGGUAACCUUUGGAGCCAGCCGCCUAAGG
rnacentral:rRNA from 1 species